rnacentral:rRNA from 1 species
UACGGGGGGGGCAAGCGUUGUUCGGAAUUACUGGGCGUAAAGGGCGCGUAGGCGGACGUGCAAGUCGGUGGUGAAAGCCCACGGCUCAACCGUGGAAUUGCGGGCGAUACUGGGGGUCUUGAGUCCGGGAGAGGUGGGUGGAAUUCCUAGUGUAGAGGUGAAAUUCGUAGAUAUUAGGAAGAACACCAGUGGCGAAGGCGGCUCACUGGCCCGGUACUGACGCUGAGGCGCGAAAGCGUGGGGAGCAAACAGG